UUGACGGCAACAACAACAACAACAACAUGACGCUCGAUGACAGACACUGCAACGCGUGCGGAUUGUUUUUAAUACAGUUCCUGCAUAUGACAGCUAUUAAGAUCACACAUAACAUGCAGUGGAUGCAAACAACAAAAUGCAGCAAUCAAGCGCCACCGAUACAAGCGAAGCGGACAACACAACUGGCCAGAUAUUGACUGUAAUGAUGGCUGAUCAUUUACAGGAUCAGUGAAGUGUUGUGGACUGUAAACCUGUUGAACAGAAGCAGAGACGUGUGGACAGACACUGACUGUACUGAUGAUGAGCAUCUGCUGCUGCACAGUAAAGAAGUAUAACCCCUGCUGGACAUGGCUCUGGAAGCUCCAGGGGGAGACCGAACUGGUAUCCCCUAUCUUUAGGCGCGCCUCACACAUCAGAUCCAGCUGAAAUCUAAUCAGAAACCUCUGAAGCCGUGGAGCAGCAAUCCUACCACAGAACCGCAGAUCUCCUAUCUGAACACCUGCUGGAACUGAUGUUUGACUGCUGACAUAUUUCAAUAAAACACGCUAUAAGUCAGAUCUUAA